rnacentral:tRNA from 1 species
GGUUAUGUUGGCUCUGUGGCUACAGCGUAUGUCUCGUAACCGAAAGGUCGCGGGAUCGAAUCCCGCUAGAGGCU